AUUAGCAGCUAGCUUACUGCGACUUUCACAUGGUCAUCCACUGAAGCUAAGCAGGGCUGCGCCCGGUCAGUACCUGGAUGGGAGACCACAUGAGAAAGCUCGGUUGCUGCUGAAA
ensembl:rRNA 5S_rRNA 5S ribosomal RNA